AGCAGUCCUAUCUUCUCCAACAGUCUCUGAAAUGUGUUCUUCUGCAAUCAGUCAUGUAUUCACUAAUUAAAUACAACUGUUUUCCGUAGAAGACUUCACACACCACCGUUUGCUAAGUAUGACUCAAGAAUUAUGUCUCAAAGAAUUUUGAUGGCAUGUGUUUGAACAGACUCCUACAGUAAGUCUUGCUGAUACUGACACUUGGUAAUGUCAGUAACUACAGCCAUCCUUACAACUCCUGGCCAUUCCUAGAAACAAGCAUGGUGCUGUAGUCCAUGUGGAUAAUUGAAUGGACACAAUGAAUGGAUUAUCUGCACAAGGAUAGGUUUGCUGUUAUCUUUAGAUGCAUCAUUAAUGACUGAUAUCUGAUUUUUAAAAUCAUUUUCAUGGUCAUGAUUAUCUUAUCAUCCUUGUUCCAUUUUUCACUGGUCCACCAAAGAGUGAAGCACGAAACAGAAGUAGAGCUGGCCCCUUUGAUAUAUAUCAAGAACACUUUUGUAAACUCUCAUGUGGUGAAAAUCCUCUAAAUUCUAGGAUGGAAUGAAGAAUUUAUACUCACUCAUGAUUUGAAAUUCUCCACAUUUGAUCUGAAUCAAAAUCCCAGGAAAGACUCAUUAGAAAGACUCUCCUAUAACUUGAAGUUACCUGUGACAGCCUCGUGUCACAAGUGGUCACCUUGACACAGCAGACUUGGGAGCCUCAGUCCAAGCCCCAGGACAUCCACUUCUUGAAGCUACACACGUCACUGGCUGCAGCCACUCACCUGGCAGUCAUCUGGUUAAAAUAAACUCAAGGACCUUCAUCCUCAGUAUUCCCUUGAAGUUCACAGAAGUCAAGAGGCUCCAUGUUGAAAAUCAGAAGCUGAUACGAACCAGAAUAUAAGAACAACUCUACAGAGUCCAUAUUUAAUUCUCUGCCUAUCAGAAGGCUAUUCGUGGGUAGAGAAGAGACUUCACUACUUUUUAGAGGACAUGCACAUCCUUGUAAACAUGUGAGAUGAAAUAAUGAAAUGUCUAGGAUGUGCUUUAAAAUACUUCGGGAAAGGCUCUGGCGUACCACCCAAGGAAAAAGAGUUGACAGAGCAUUAACUUAGCUUGCGAGCAAAGAAACGAAGCAAGAUGUGUAACAUAUCCAGGGAUUUAGAGGAAUGGCACAGCUUCAGUCCUGGUUAAUAACCCCAAGUCGCUGGCGAAAUGAGAGCCUUUGCUCUUUUCCAGAUUCUUCGUGGAAUCAUUUCCAGGGCAUUUGCUUUCAAUCUCCAUGAGGAUAUAAACAAUGUGGAUUUUGGAGUCAAACAGCUGGAGUUCAAAUCGAGCCUUUGCCAAUCAUUGGCUGAUGACCUUCAGAAAUCUACUUAACUCUCCUAAGAUCUCAGUUGCUUUAUUUGCAAAAUGGGAUAAUAGAUCUUCAGGUGAAAUAAGGUAUUUGAAAGCGCCCAUCCCCGUCACCGUCAUCACCACCGCCACCAUCAUCACCAUCUUACAGCUGGAAAACCUGAGGCUCCAGGGGAUACAGAGACCUACUCAGCGUUGGGCAGAACUGCCAGGAGGCAAUGCAGGCUCCUGAACUCAAACCUGGACGCUUCCUCUGAGCUGACAGCUCCACAGCGGCGGCAGGGCCAGGAAGGGCACAGCUAUGAGCAUCACCAGCAUCAGCAGUGAGUUCUACCUUUGAGGAUUUAAUACAUUUGUAUCUACAAGCAAACAGCUGGAAUACAGCUUCAGAACCAUUCCUGGGCUGGCAGGCAGAACAAAGAAUGCCAGAUGCUCUGCAAGAGAUGCUCAAUGUCAGCUGGCACUGGGAGGAACAAGCCCCCACUUGGUACCCAGAAAUGCCAGCUAAGAUGCAUCAGCUGGUAAGCCCUGGGGCAAUCCGGGAAGCAGAAGGAUGGGAAAAUGAGCCCUGCUUGCUCAGGCUGCUUACUUUCUUCUCUACCCAGCCAUGGACACACCUACUAACUCCGGUUUUACAAAAAGCAAAGCUCCUGCAUGUUCUCCAGCUGGACUCAGGAACACAGGCAAAAUCAUGCAUAACAUCGCAUAAGCUUCUUUCCUUCCACUCAUCUAAGGGCACCCUGAACUAUCCUGACCUGACUUCCCCCAAAUAUGCCUCUGGAGCAGAUCAGUUUUGAAAGCAGCCUCAGGAGUAAAGGCACCAGCAGCUUUUCACCCACUCCUGCCACGAUCAUCCGCUGGCACCCUGAACAGUGGCUGGAGACACCUCAGAGAAAUCGCGCGUCGCC